AGCGUACACGGUGGAUGCCCUGGCAGUCAGAGGCGAUGAAGGACGUGCUAAUCUGCGAUAAGCGUCGGUAAGGUGAUAUGAACCGUUAUAACCGGCGAUUUCCGAAUGGGGAAACCCAGUGUGAUUCGUCACACUAUCAUUAACUGAAUCCAUAGGUUAAUGAGGCGAACCGGGGGAACUGAAACAUCUAAGUACCCCGAGGAAAAGAAAUCAACCGAGAUUCCCCCAGUAGCGGCGAGCGAACGGGGAGCAGCCCAGAGCCUGAAUCAGUGUGUGUGUUAGUGGAAGCGUCUGGAAAGGCGCGCGAUACAGGGUGACAGCCCCGUACACAAAAAUGCACAUGCUGUGAGCUCGAUGAGUAGGGCGGGACACGUGGUAUCCUGUCUGAAUAUGGGGGGACCAUCCUCCAAGGCUAAAUACUCCUGACUGACCGAUAGUGAACCAGUACCGUGAGGGAAAGGCGAAAAGAACCCCGGCGAGGGGAGUGAAAAAGAACCUGAAACCGUGUACGUACAAGCAGUGGGAGCCUCUUAAUGGGGUGACUGCGUACCUUUUGUAUAAUGGGUCAGCGACUUAUAUUCUGUAGCAAGGUUAACCGAAUAGGGGAGCCGAAGGGAAACCGAGUCUUAACUGGGCGUUAAGUUGCAGGGUAUAGACCCGAAACCCGGUGAUCUAGCCAUGGGCAGGUUGAAGGUUGGGUAACACUAACUGGAGGACCGAACCGACUAAUGUUGAAAAAUUAGCGGAUGACUUGUGGCUGGGGGUGAAAGGCCAAUCAAACCGGGAGAUAGCUGGUUCUCCCCGAAAGCUAUUUAGGUAGCGCCUCGUGAAUUCAUCUCCGGGGGUAGAGCACUGUUUCGGCAAGGGGGUCAUCCCGACUUACCAACCCGAUGCAAACUGCGAAUACCGGAGAAUGUUAUCACGGGAGACACACGGCGGGUGCUAACGUCCGUCGUGAAGAGGGAAACAACCCAGACCGCCAGCUAAGGUCCCAAAGUCAUGGUUAAGUGGGAAACGAUGUGGGAAGGCCCAGACAGCCAGGAUGUUGGCUUAGAAGCAGCCAUCAUUUAAAGAAAGCGUAAUAGCUCACUGGUCGAGUCGGCCUGCGCGGAAGAUGUAACGGGGCUAAACCAUGCACCGAAGCUGCGGCAGCGACACUAUGUGUUGUUGGGUAGGGGAGCGUUCUGUAAGCCUGCGAAGGUGUACUGUGAGGUAUGCUGGAGGUAUCAGAAGUGCGAAUGCUGACAUAAGUAACGAUAAAGCGGGUGAAAAGCCCGCUCGCCGGAAGACCAAGGGUUCCUGUCCAACGUUAAUCGGGGCAGGGUGAGUCGACCCCUAAGGCGAGGCCGAAAGGCGUAGUCGAUGGGAAACAGGUUAAUAUUCCUGUACUUGGUGUUACUGCGAAGGGGGGACGGAGAAGGCUAUGUUGGCCGGGCGACGGUUGUCCCGGUUUAAGCGUGUAGGCUGGUUUUCCAGGCAAAUCCGGAAAAUCAAGGCUGAGGCGUGAUGACGAGGCACUACGGUGCUGAAGCAACAAAUGCCCUGCUUCCAGGAAAAGCCUCUAAGCAUCAGGUAACAUCAAAUCGUACCCCAAACCGACACAGGUGGUCAGGUAGAGAAUACCAAGGCGCUUGAGAGAACUCGGGUGAAGGAACUAGGCAAAAUGGUGCCGUAACUUCGGGAGAAGGCACGCUGAUAUGUAGGUGAAGUCCCUUGCGGAUGGAGCUGAAAUCAGUCGAAGAUACCAGCUGGCUGCAACUGUUUAUUAAAAACACAGCACUGUGCAAACACGAAAGUGGACGUAUACGGUGUGACGCCUGCCCGGUGCCGGAAGGUUAAUUGAUGGGGUUAGCGGUAACGCGAAGCUCUUGAUCGAAGCCCCGGUAAACGGCGGCCGUAACUAUAACGGUCCUAAGGUAGCGAAAUUCCUUGUCGGGUAAGUUCCGACCUGCACGAAUGGCGUAAUGAUGGCCAGGCUGUCUCCACCCGAGACUCAGUGAAAUUGAACUCGCUGUGAAGAUGCAGUGUACCCGCGGCAAGACGGAAAGACCCCGUGAACCUUUACUAUAGCUUGACACUGAACAUUGAGCCUUGAUGUGUAGGAUAGGUGGGAGGCUUUGAAGUGUGGACGCCAGUCUGCAUGGAGCCGACCUUGAAAUACCACCCUUUAAUGUUUGAUGUUCUAACGUUGGCCCCUAAUCGGGGUUGCGGACAGUGUCUGGUGGGUAGUUUGACUGGGGCGGUCUCCUCCUAAAGAGUAACGGAGGAGCACGAAGGUUGGCUAAUCCUGGUCGGACAUCAGGAGGUUAGUGCAAUGGCAUAAGCCAGCUUGACUGCGAGCGUGACGGCGCGAGCAGGUGCGAAAGCAGGUCAUAGUGAUCCGGUGGUUCUGAAUGGAAGGGCCAUCGCUCAACGGAUAAAAGGUACUCCGGGGAUAACAGGCUGAUACCGCCCAAGAGUUCAUAUCGACGGCGGUGUUUGGCACCUCGAUGUCGGCUCAUCACAUCCUGGGGCUGAAGUAGGUCCCAAGGGUAUGGCUGUUCGCCAUUUAAAGUGGUACGCGAGCUGGGUUUAGAACGUCGUGAGACAGUUCGGUCCCUAUCUGCCGUGGGCGCUGGAGAACUGAGGGGGGCUGCUCCUAGUACGAGAGGACCGGAGUGGACGCAUCACUGGUGUUCGGGUUGUCAUGCCAAUGGCACUGCCCGGUAGCUAAAUGCGGAAGAGAUAAGUGCUGAAAGCAUCUAAGCACGAAACUUGCCCCGAGAUGAGUUCU
rnacentral:rRNA from 1 species